ACUCCUACGGGAGGCAGCAGUGAGGAAUCUUCCACAAUGGACGAAAGUCUGAUGGAGCGACACCGCGUGAAGGAUGAAGGCCUAACGGUUGUAAACUUCUUUUCUGAAGGAGCAUAAUGAGAGUACUUCAGGAAUAAGGGACGGCUAAAUACGUGCCAGCAGCCGCGGUAAUACGUAUGUCUCGAGCGUUACCCGGAAUCACUGGGUGUAAAGGGGUUCGUAGGCGGAACUAUAAGUCAGAUAUGAAAGACCGGAGCUCAACUCCGUGUUUGUGUUUGAAACUGUAGUUCUAGAAUUAGGGAGAGGUAAGCGGAAUUCUAAGUGUAGGGGUGCAAUCCGUAGAUACUUAGAGGAACACCAAAAGCGAAGGCAGCUUACUGGAACUAUAUUGACGCUGAGGAACGAAAGCGUGGGGAGCGAAAGGAUUAGAUACCCUGGUAGCGACUGA
rnacentral:rRNA from 1 species